UGUUCCCUGGGUUGCUUGCCAGUCGACAUGUCCUCGACCCUUUAUGCGAUAACCAGGAGGUCUUUUUUCGAUGUGAAUGUGCAUGUCCGCAAGUCGGAAAGCCUGUAGCUCGUCAGGGGCCACCGCCUUGAACCGCAGGGUUCAAGGGCCUGUGAGAACAGCGGCAAUUUGGGGAACCC
rnacentral:other from 1 species